CCUACGGGCGGCAGCAGUGAGGAAUAUUGGUCAAUGGACGAGAGUCUGAACCAGCCAAGUAGCGUGAAGGAUGACUGCCCUAUGGGUUGUAAACUUCUUUUAUAAAGGAAUAAAACGAGGCACGUGUGCCUUUUUGCAUGUACUUUAUGAAUAAGGAUCGGCUAACUCCGUGCCAGCAGCCGCGGUAAUACGGAGGAUCCGAGCGUUAUCCGGAUUUAUUGGGUUUAAAGGGAGAGUAGAUGGGUUGUUAAGUCAGUUGUGAAAGUUUGCGGCUCAACCGUAAAAUUGCAAUUGAUACUGGCAGUCGUGAGUACAGUUGAGGUAGGCGGAAUUCGUGGUGUAGCGGUGAAAUGCUUAGAUAUCACGAAGAACCCCGAUUGCGAAGGCAGCUUACUAAACUGUGACUGACAUUGAUGCUCGAAAGUGUGGGUAUCAAACAGGAUUAGAUACCCCUGUAGUC
rnacentral:rRNA from 1 species